rnacentral:rRNA from 1 species
UACAGAGGUCCCGAGCGUUGUUCGGAUUUAUUGGGCGUAAAGGGUGCGUAGGCGGCGGGGCAAGUCUGAUGUGAAAUCCCGGGGCUCAACCCCGGAACUGCAUUGGAUACUGCCUUGCUUGAGUACUGGAGAGGGAACUGGAAUUUACGGUGUAGCAGUGAAAUGCGUAGAUAUCGUAAGGAAGGCCAGUGGCGAAGGCGAGUUCCUGGACAGUUACUGACGCUGAGGCACGAAGGCCAGGGGAGCAAACGGG